rnacentral:lncRNA from 1 species
UAAGGUUGUGUAAUACGAAUAAUUAAAUAGGUACUAUGCUAGAGUAAAUGAAACAAAUUAAAUAAUUGUUUUACAUCAAAUAUUUAUUGCGAUUUCUGUGUAGAUAUUUCAUCGACACGUUGUUGGUAAGUAUAUUAUUUAUAUUUAUAAUUAGAGCACGGAUUUAAAUGUAUUAAAAACUAACCAAAUAUACGCUAAACAAAUCUUAAAUAUGCAUAGUUAUAUGCACUAAAAUGUUAAUAUACCCAUAAAUAGUAAAAAAAAAUACGACAGAAAGCACACACGAACGCACGGUAAAUAUUUUAACAUAACUAAAAUGUCAAUGUUCAGUGGCCGUAAACGAUAUUUUCUUAUCUUGGUACACGUAUUUUAUUUCACCGAUUAUUUAUCUUAGGUCAUAUUUGGGAAACUGUUGUUUUGCCUACAAGUAUACCAAUUAAUUUAUUUUGAUAUUAAUCGAAACUAUAUAAAUAUAAUAUUUUUUUCCUAUAUUAUAAUAGUAUAUAUUUCAAAAAUGUCUAGAAAACAAAAAACACCGAAAUUUGUAUUAAAAAAUGAAAUAUGCAAAACUGAUUGUCGAAAUAUGCACUAAAAAGUUUAAUUUUUCAAAUCGUUAUGUCAUAAAACAAAUUUUGUGCCCACUUAGCAUAUCAUACAAUCAACUAGAAUAAAUAUGCAAAUCCGUGCUCUAUUUAUAAUAUUAUUUAAUUAUUGUAAAGAAGUAUUUUUUUCAUAAACUUAAUUAUCGUUAAAAUAUAAAACUACUUUAGUGGGCACGUUUUAUUUUUCUAAUUUUUUAAUUUUUAAAUUUUUUUUUUAAUAUGUGUUUUUAAAUGCUUGUUCUGAAAGUGAAUUAAUUUUUUUGCAGAAAUCAUUAUUAAAGAAGUUGUAGCUGUUAAAAAUUUGUCGUUAUUGGGUUUUGCUUAUAUAGUUUUUCGAGCCCAUACAAAUUUCACUGUUGCACAAUGUAUAUAUACGCAAGAUGUUUAUACUCAAAAACUGCAGUAUGUAUAGGGUUUGAACUUUAAUUUGUAGAUAGGUAAAUCCAUUACGCUAUAGUGAAAUGUGUAUGGGCGGCUUGAAAAAACUACAAAAUAUUAAAAAAAAAUAAUAAGUCAUAGAAAAAUAAGUGUUGUCCAGUCGAAAAACACGUAGGUAUUUUCAAAAAAAGUUGAAACAUUUGGGGUGCCUGGUUAAGGAUUUUUCUUUUAAUAGUUAUCUUUAAUACAUAUUAUCUAGGUAGUUAGGAUAUUUUUCAUUAGAUUUUAAUUUCAUUACUUAAUAGAACUUUUAGGAUGCUUAAUCUCCAUAAUUUUUAAAAACCUAAUUUAUUUCUGACUUUAAAUAUAUAAUAAAUGUAACAGUAAUACAUAUUAGAAAUUAAAUAAUCACUCUGAUAAUAACUGUAGAUGAUUAUAAAAUCAACCUCUGUUUAACAGUAAAAUUUCUAAAAGAACAGUAAUCACAUAGGUUAUUUCUGUUGUCGUUUUUUAGGUACACUAUUAUUUAUAUAAUUCCAUCAUAUAUGUCAAUACAAAUUGAUUACUCUUUAAUGGACUACAAAAAUUGCCCCUUUGGCAACAAGGUUCUUCCGCACUCUAAUAUGGGCCUGCUAAUGGGUCACUAUAUAUUAUACAAUUUCCUUGACCUUUCUGAAGUCCUAAUCUGUUCCAGAUUAUAUUGAAAUAAAAAUGUUUUAUUUGAAUACAUAUUUCAUUUUAAUAAUUAUAAUUUAUAAUUGAUCAUAAACUUAUAUGGUUAAAAACUAUAAAUUAUAUACUGUAUUUACAUAUUUUACUGUGACAUGAUUAAAUAUUAAAUAAUUUACUGUUUAUUAUAAAAUAUAUCUGCCAAUGUUUGUUUCAUUUUAGUAUUAUAAUUUUUAGAUAUAAUGGAUUCUUCUGAACUUAACUGUAUUUCAAAAAAUAAAUGUUUUGGAGGUUCUCAACGAGUUUAUGAACAUUUUAGGUAAUUAUUUAAACAAUUAUGAUAAUUGCUGUACGUCUGAUUACGAGAUGUUUAUUUAAUUUUUUUUAUUUUUCAGUUCUUCAUUACAAUGUAACAUGAAAUUUGCUAUUUACAUUCCUCCAGAAACAAUACGUUCUGAAAAAUUCCCUGUAUUGUUUUACUUAUCAGGUUUAACAUGCAGUGAACAAAAUGUCAUCACUAAGUCAGGAUUUCAAAAAUUUGCUGCUCAAUAUAAAAUAAUUAUUGUUGCUCCUGACACUAGCCCUAGUAAGUUGAUAUCUAAACUGAUACAUAAUUGUGUAAAAUUGUAUAUCUUUAUACACUUUAGUAUAAGUAUAAACUGAAACAAAAUUUAAUAACUCUAAAGCUUAUAGGAAUUAAAUUUAGACAUGAUAAUUAUUUUAAUAGUUUAUCAUUUUAUUUAAAAUGCGUAUAAUUGAGAUCCGACUGAAGGCUUUGUCACAUCAUAACCGUAGGACCGACCAUCGUGACUGCUCCUCAGAAUCAAUAUAAUAUCAUAAUAUAAAAUAUAUAAUGUAUUAGUGAUUUUACCUCUAACCUUAGCUCCAAAUGUUGCAUGUAUGAUGGCGUAUAUAAUAUAUAUGUAUCAUUUUUAACAGCUCCAAAUUAAACUUAAUUAUUUAUUUAUUUAUUAACACCAGUCAGCAAUUUUGUGAUAACAUUUAUGGUUUGGUUUACAAGUAACAGUUAUUUAUAAUGUAAUACUAAUAAUUCACAGUAACAACGAAAAUAGUGCAGAAACAACAAAAUACAUAUUAGGUGGUGACAUAUUACCACCAUAUAAAAAAAAAAAAUUAAUAAAUAAAAAUUAAAUUAAAUAUAAAAACAUUACAACUAGUUUUACAUUUAAAAUGAUUAAAAAUCAUUUUUUGAUUGAAAUCAAAAUUAAGGCUAUUUAAAUUACGAAGCAUUUUAUGUAAGAGGAGGUUAUUACCAUAGAUAUACUGUGGGCUGGUACUAGGAAGAUAGUGUGAUGUCUGGAGAAGACGAAAGGGAUACGAAAACUUACUUUUAUAAUAGAUCAGAAGCAUCUAUGGUGCCUCUUAAGCAUGAAGAAAUAAAUUGCACGUCAAUGUCUUAUGUAGGAUAAACGUAGUGGAAUUUCCAAUAUACUACGAAUUAAGGAGAAGUCAUGUUGAUGGGUGUGGUAAUUUAAGGAAAUGGGCUGCGUGCGUAGGAAAGAAACCUAUUUUGAACACAUUCUAGUCUAAAUUCAUCUUUAGCCAAGUAAGGAUGCCAUACUAUCACUCUAUAUUCUAAUAUUGAAUGUACUAACGUGAAAUAUAAUGUCAGGAGGCAACACAAAAGAAAAAUGUGUGGUGUUGCGCUUAAUAAAUCCCAAGACUUUUAAUAUUUUACCUACAGUUACAUUUAUGUGAUGUUCAAAGUUAAAAGAUUGAGUAUAUCAAGAUUUUUAUGGAGAAAAACAUGAUCAAGAGUGGUGCCAUUAAAAUAAUAGUUGUUAAUUAUUUUUAAAUGUGGGUAUUUUGCUUAUGGAUUCACAUAAAUCGCAGUUUUUUUCUACUAUUUAUUAAGAAUACAAAAUAAAUCAUUAUAUUAUACAUAAUAUUAGCAAAAAAAAAGCAAUAUAAAAUUUCAUAUCUGGAGUCCCUGGUGCAUAAAACAAAUAUAAAGCUUAUUUUUAUCUGUAUCCUAUAAUAAUUAGCAAAAGGUCUAAAAUCUCGCCCUGGUUAUUACUUAUAGUGUUCUGGCUAUAAUUAUUUUUUAUAAUCUUAUAUAGUUUGACUAAAUAAGGUUUUUUUUUGUUGAUGAUAUGAAUUUUUAUGGCAGAACUGAACUUUUCUUAAAAUUAAUGAACACAAACUAAACUAAUCCUGCACAAAUUUACACAUACAACCUAUUUAUUUGAAUUGAACUGAACAAAACUAUUUAAAAUAUGUUAUUAACUUAAACUAAAUAUUAAACAUUUUUCAUAAUGAGGCCUCUUUGUCCCAUCAUGCACAGGAAACAGUGUUGGUAACUGCGCUGAAUAGUUGUUGUAGAUUUUUGAAUUUCAAAAAUUAAACAGCUCAUAACAUCUAUACUAUUUUUCACGAGAGAAAGUUAUUCACGCACGCAGACUGAGCUUACGGAUCACUUGCUACCGCUCUCGUCGUUGAUGGCAGUCCGCAAAAUUACACCUGGCCUAAUAGUGGUGGGAGCUCUGGGCGAGGUGCGGCGUGGGGAUGCGUAAAAAUAACUAGUUUUUGUUGAGACUCUCCGCUGUUCUUUCGUGAAAAAUAGUAUACUUUAUUUAUGUUUAUUGUGCGAACAAAUUAUUUUUCUGAAUAUUUAUAUUCAAACUAACCAUUUUUGAACACAUUAUAAAAAUAAAUAAUAAUAAUAUUAUUUUAUUUUUGUUAAUUGCUAUUUUAUGUAAAAUACAUGUAUUAAUUUUAUAGGAAAUGUUAUUUCUAAUGAAGAUGAUUCAUGGAAUGUUGGUGCUGGUGCAUCUAUGUAUGUAGAUGCUACCCAAGAACCUUGGAAUAAGCAUUAUCAGAUGUACACCUAUAUUACCAAAGAACUAUAUGAACUAAUACAAAAUCAUUUUCCAGUAAUAAAAAAUAAAAUAUCUAUUACUGGGCACAGGUUAUUUUACAAAGUUUUUUUUGUAAAUAUAUUACAGUCAAAAUUUAAUUCAUUUUAAUUUUAUAUAGUAUGGGUGGCCACGGAGCUUUGUUAUGCACUUUACUUAAUCCAGGAAAGUAUAAAUCAGUUUCAUUAUUUGCACCAGCUUGUAGUAUUUCAAAUUCACUUACAUUACGCCCUGGGUUAACUGCAUUAAUUGGAGAUGUCGUGGAAGAUUGGCAAAAAUGGGAUCCAACUUAUUUAGUAAAAAGUUACAAUGGUCCUGAACUGGAAAUAUUAAUACAUGUGGUAUGCAUUUUAACAAUUUGAAUUAAUUUAGUUUUAUAUUGUACUUGUUUCUUUGUAGAAAAUAUAUUUAC